rnacentral:rRNA from 1 species
AAGGGGGCUAGCGUUACUCGGAAUUAUUGGGCGUAAAGCGUGCGUAGGCUGCUUAGUAAGUCAAAAGUGAAAGCCUUGGGCUCAACCUAAGAAUUGCUUUUGAAACUACCAAGCUUGAGUACUGUAGGGGAUAGCGGAAUUCCUAGUGUAGGGGUGAAAUUCGUAGAUAUUAGGAGGAACACCGGAGGCGAAAGCGGUUAUCUGGACAGUUACUGACGCUGUUGCACGAAAGCGUGGGGAGCAAACAGGAUUAGAUACCCUGGUAGUCCACGCUGUAAACGAUGAGUGCUAA